GUGUUUGACCUUCUCAAAAUGGCUACACGUCCACUCCGGAUCAUCGUGGUCACGUGGUACUGGCUUCCGAUGACGUACUUCCUGUGUGUCUGAUGUUUCCUUUUCGACUGUAUCCCAUCCUUCCUACAGACGUCCUUCCUACAUGGCAGCUGUUUGCCUUGUUCUGUCAUUAGCACAAAAGUAUCCCUUAAGAAAUAUUGCUACACACCUAUAACCUAUGUAAUAAAUGUGUCCAUGAAGUCCC